rnacentral:tRNA from 1 species
CAAGUGGCGGAAUGGUAGACGCAGGGGAUUCAAAAUCCCCCGCCUUAACGGGCGUGCCGGUUCGAGUCCGGCCUUG